CCAAUAGCGUAUAUUAAAGUUGUUGCAGUUAAAAAGCUCGUAGUUGAAUUUCGGGGUCAGUAGGUUGGUCAUGCCUCCGGUAUGUACUGGUCUCACUGAUUCCUCCUUCCUGAUGAGCCGUAAUGCCAUUAAUUUGGUGUUGCGAGGAAUCUGGACUGUUACUUUGAAAAAAUUAGAGUGUUUAAAGCAGGCUAACGCUUGAAUACAUUAGCAUGGAAUAAUGAAAUAGGACGUUUGAUUCUAUUUUGUUGGUUUCUAGGAUCGACGUAAUGAUUAAUAGGGAUAGUUGGGAGCAUUAGUAUUCAAUUGUCAGAGGUGAAGUUCUUGGAUUUAUUGAAGACUAACUACUGCGAAAGCAUUUGCCAAGGAUGUUUUCAUUAAUCAAGAACGAAAGUUAGGGGAUCGAAGACGAUCAGAUACCGUCGUAGUCUUAACCAUAAACUAUGCCGACUAGGGAUCGGAUGAUGUUAAUUUUAUAAUGACUCAUUCGGCGCCUUACG
rnacentral:rRNA from 1 species